UUAACAUGCUUCGUUUACUGUAUACUUCUAUUAUAAGUGUCGUGAAACAAAACAUUUACAGGACUUUAUAGUCGAUGAUGAAGCCUCACAGCUAUGCUCGCUCUUAGAGGAUUCCUAUUCAAUGGAAAAUGGUAUGGUAAAAGACACCAAAAUUCUGCUAACAGGACAUCCCUCCUACAUAUCUACUAAAGAAUCGAGCAAAAAUUACUGAAGUAAGUUUACUAAAAAUGACUGGACAUUGCGGGCCGUAGUAUCACACGUUAUCUGUUUACGGUUAGUAGCCUUAGUACAUACAUAUUUGCAGCUGCUUGGUGGUUAUACGUUUAAUCAAACAGAUUCCUUGCAUGAUGAAAGGGAAGCUUUGCUCUAUCGCCUAUGACAUCGAGAUGGAAUAGCUAGUAGCGUUGGAAAUGACUGUGCUUGUUUUAACUAACGAAUUUUUUAAAUAUAAUAUUUUUUUCUUUACCAAAAUUACAGAUGGUUGUGCGAUAUAAGUUUUGAAGCGCUCUUCCAACCGCAUUUAAUAAACGUUGGAGGACAAGGCAUCGCAGGAUUAGUGUUUAAAACCAUACAAACAGCCAAUAUCGAUAUACGACCGGAAUUGUACAAUCAUAUCAUGUCAUCUGGUGAUUAGUGUGUCCAAAUAUGAUGUGGAUAAAUUAGCGAAAUUUAAAAUUCAUCUUGAAGAUCCGCUAUCGUGAUGAGCGAUAUUUCACCACCGCACAGUGGUCGGUCUUGUAUGGGAUCAGCGGCCAAAAAUACUUCCACUGCAUAUAUAAAAGUGAAACUUUUGCCAAAGCUUUUUAAAAUCUCCCUCUCACGUUUCCCACUCUGCCACUC